rnacentral:rRNA from 1 species
UUCCAAAGAUUAAGCCAUGCAUGCCUAGGAAGGGUGUAGUUAUUACAGAAUCUGCGAAUGGCUCCGUAUACCUGUUACCACCUGUGGUUUCCCACCCUUUUCAGCGGAUAAUGCUGGAAACCCUAGCAAUAAUACGUUAUUUCAACAUAUUAUUGUUAGAUCGGGUUGCUUAAGCUCGAAGGGAGCGCACCUCUCGCAGGUGCUUCCUUUCAACAGGGGUUUGCUCCUGGUCGCUGGGGCUCCUGCUUGUCCGGCAUACCGACCCGGGAACCAAAAGAGUGGCUGCGUUAAGUCGUGCUCCUUUGUCUCCCAAGCAUCUGGGCAACAUGUAGGCGCUGCCUGAGCUGAUUCGUCAGCGAUGGCAGUGCUUAUCCAGGUGCGAAGGAACCAAGACGAAGAAACGGGUGCGAUGUAGCUCACUCUUUCCCGGUGCUCGACCAAUGCAUGAUUUGGGUGGGAGAAGGCCUCGAUGGAGGCUUGUUCAAUGCCCUCCACGUUGAUGCUGGGCUUCAGUCCUAUCAACUGGAUUGCCGGGCAUUGACCUGCCACGGUGGUAACGGGUGCAGAGGAUUAGGGUUUGAUCCUGGAGAGGUAGCCUGAGAAAUAGCUCCCACUUCCAUGGAAGGCAGCAGGCGCGCAACGUUCCCAAUGGUUUACGGACCGAGGACGUUAAGGAACAUAGCAAUACUUUGCCUAAUAGCAAAGCAAUUGAAAUGGGGGAGAUCCAAAUCAUCCACCGAGUAACAAUUAGAGGACA